rnacentral:rRNA from 1 species
CAGCAGCCGCGGUAAUACGUAGGUGGCAAGCGUUGUCCGGAUUUACUGGGCGUAAAGAGCGCGCAGGCGGUCUUCCAAGUCGCGUGUGAAAGCCCCCGGCUCAACUGGGGAGGGUCACGCGAUACUGAUCGACUCGAAGGCAGGAGAGGGUAGUGGAAUUCCCGGUGUAGUGGUGAAAUGCGUAGAUAUCGGGAGGAACACCAGUGGCGAAGGCGACUACCUGGCCUGUUCUUGACGCUGAGGCGCGAAAGCUAGGGGAGCAAACGGGAUUAGAUACCCCGGUAGUCCUAGCCGUAAACGAUGGACACUAGGUGUUGGUGGUAUCAACCCCGCCAGUGCCGAAGCUAACGCAUUAAGUGUCCCGCCUGGGGAGUACGGCCGCAAGGCUAAAACUCAAAGGAAUUGACGG